rnacentral:rRNA from 1 species
CUACGGGAGGCAGCAGGCGAGAAAACUUUGCAAUGUGCGAAAGCACGACAAGGUUAAUCCGAGUGGUUUCUGCUAAAGGAACCUUUUGACAGUCCUAGAAACACUGUUGAAUAAGGGGUGGGCAAGUUCUGGUGUCAGCCGCCGCGGUAAAACCAGCACCUCAAGUGGUCAGGAUGAUUAUUGGGCCUAAAGCAUCCGUAGCCGGCUCUGUAAGUUUUCGGUUAAAUCUGUACGCUCAACGUACAGGCUGCCGGGAAUACUGCAGAGCUAGGGAGUGGGAGAGGUAGACGGUACUCGGUAGGAAGGGGUAAAAUCCUUUGAUCUAUUGAUGAACACCUGUGGCGAAGGCGGUCUACCAGAACACGUCCGACGGUGAGGGAUGAAAGCUGGGGGAGCAAACCGGAUUAGAUACCCGUGUAGUC